rnacentral:rRNA from 1 species
AUACGGAGGGUCCGAGCGUUAUCCGGAAUCAUUGGGUUUAAAGGGUCUGUAGGCGGGAAUCUAAGUCAGUGGUGAAAUCUUGCAGCUCAACUGUAAAAUUGCCAUUGAUACUGGAUUUCUUGAAUUAGUGUGAAGUGAUUAGAAUGUGUAGUGUAGCGGUGAAAUGCAUAGAUAUUACACAGAAUACCAAUUGCGAAGGCAGAUCACUAACACUAUCUUGACGCUGAGGGACGAAAGCGUGGGGAGCGAACAGGAUUAGAUACCCCAGUAGUCC